rnacentral:sRNA from 1 species
CUAGGAACCAAUCAGCGAUUACAGGCCCAGUCUUCGGCCACCCAAAGGCGGAGUAAGAAACCAGGAGCGGAUCUGAUUGGUUGCUGGAAGACGCCGCGCCCACCUCACAGAAGGACGAACCAGUGAGCUAAGCUGCGGGGCGCGGGCUCGGCCGGGGCACCGGUGAGUCGCCGCCGCUGCAGAGGGAGGCGGCACUGGUCUCGACGUGGGGCGGCCAGCGAUGAAGCCGGCUAUCUUUGUCACGAGUGAAUUGUUCUCAGUUUCUCGGUUUAUGUGCUCUUCCAGGUUGUAAAUUUAAAGAUGUUAGAAGAAAUGUCCAAAAAGAUACAGAAGAACUAAAGAGCUGUGGUAUACAAGACAUAUUUGUUUUCUGCACCAGAGGGGAACUGUCAAAAUAUAGAGUCCCAAACCUUCUGGAUCUCUACCAGCAAUGUGGAAUUAUCACCCAUCAUCAUCCAAUCGCAGAUGGAGGGACUCCUGACAUAGCCAGCUGCUGUGAAAUAAUGGAAGAGCUUACAAUCUGCCUUAAAAAUUACCGAAAAACCUUAAUACACUGCUAUGGAGGACUUGGGAGAUCUUGUCUUGUAGCUGCUUGUCUCCUACUAUACCUGUCUGACACAAUAUCACCAGAGCAAGCCAUAGACAGCCUGCGAGACUUAAGAGGAUCCGGGGCAAUACAGACCAUCAAG